AGUGAACGCUGGCGGUAGGCCUAACACAUGCAAGUCGAACGGCAGCACAGUAAGAGCUUGCUCUUACGGGUGGCGAGUGGCGGACGGGUGAGGAAUACAUCGGAAUCUACUUUUUCGUGGAGGAUAACGUAGGGAAACUUACGCUAAUACCGCAUACGACCUACGGGUGAAAGCAGGGGAUCUUCGGACCUUGCGCGAUUGAAUGAGCCGCUGUCGGAUUAGCUAGUUGGCGGGGUAAAGGCCCACCAAGGCGACGAUCCGUAGCUGGUCUGAGAGGAUGAUCAGCCACACUGGAACUGAGACACGGUCCAGACUCCUACGGGAGGCAGCAGUGGGGAAUAUUGGACAAUGGGCGGAAGCCUGAUCCAGCCAUACCGCGUGGGUGAAGAAGGCCUUCGGGUUGUAAAGCCCUUUUGUUGGGAAAGAAAAGCAGCAGGUUAAUACCCCGCUGUUCUGACGGUACCCAAAGAAUAAGCACCGGCUAACUUCGUG
rnacentral:rRNA from 1 species